ensembl:misc_RNA Metazoa_SRP Metazoan signal recognition particle RNA
GCCAGGCGUGGUGGCGGACGCCUGUAGUCCCAGCUACUCAGGAGGCUGAGGCAGGAGAGUCACUUGAACCCAGGAGGCGGCGGUUGCAGUGAGCCAAGAUCGCGCCACUGCACUCCAGCCUGGGUGACAGAGUGAGACUCUGUCUCAA